GCCCGCAUAGCUCAGCGGCAGAGCGCUUGCAUGAGCAGGCAAGAGGCCCCAGGUCCGGCUCCUGGUGCGGGUA
rnacentral:tRNA from 1 species